AUUGAACGCUGGCGGCAGGCCUAACACAUGCAAGUCGAGCGGAUGAAGGGAGCUUGCUCCCUGAUUUAGCGGCGGACGGGUGAGUAAUGCCUAGGAAUCUGCCUGGUAGUGGGGGAUAACGUCCGGAAACGGGCGCUAAUACCGCAUACGUCCUACGGGAGAAAGCAGGGGACCUUCGGGCCUUGUGCUAUCAGAUGAGCCUAGGUCGGAUUAGCUAGUUGGUGAGGUAAUGGCUCACCAAGGCGACGAUCCGUAACUGGUCUGAGAGGAUGAUCAGUCACACUGGAACUGAGACACGGUCCAGACUCCUACGGGAGGCAGCAGUGGGGAAUAUUGGACAAUGGGCGAAAGCCUGAUCCAGCCAUGCCGCGUGUGUGAAGAAGGUCUUCGGAUUGUAAAGCACUUUAAGUUGGGAGGAAGGGCAGUAAGCUAAUACCUUGCUGUUUUGACGUUACCGACAGAAUAAGCACCGGCUAACUUCGUGCCAGCAGCCGCGGUAAUACGAAGGGUGCAAGCGUUAAUCGGAAUUACUGGGCGUAAAGCGCGCGUAGGUGGUUCGUUAAGUUGGAUGUGAAAGCCCCGGGCUCAACCUGGGAACUGCAUCCAAAACUGGCGAGCUAGAGUACGGUAGAGGGUGGUGGAAUUUCCUGUGUAGCGGUGAAAUGCGUAGAUAUAGGAAGGAACACCAGUGGCGAAGGCGACCACCUGCACUGAUACUGACACUGAGGUGCGAAGGCGUGGGGAGCAAACAGGAUUAGAUACCCUGGUAGUCCACGCCGUAAACGAUGUCAACUAGCCGUUGGGUUCCUUGAGAACUUAGUGGCGCAGCUAACGCAUUAAGUUGACCGCCUGGGGGAGUACGGCCGCAAGGUUAAAACUCAAAUG
rnacentral:rRNA from 1 species